UACGGAGGGGGCUAGCGUUGUUCGGAAUUACUGGGCGUAAAGAGCUCGUAGGCGGUUUGUUGCGUCGGCUGUGAAAUCCCGAGGCUCAACCUCGGGUCUGCAGUCGAUACGAGCAACUAGAGUGUUGCAGGGGAGACUGGAAUUCCUGGUGUAGCGGUGAAAUGCGCAGAUAUCAGGAGGAACACCGGUGGCGAAGGCGGGUCUCUGGGCCGAUACUGACGCUGAGGAGCGAAAGCGUGGGGAGCGAACAGG
rnacentral:rRNA from 1 species